AAAAGCCUUCUUUACACUGCGCCGCUGAUAUGCCGACUGAUCUAUAGGAGCAGCCAUAUCCCUUCUUGGGAAGAUACUGAUUGGAAUAAUAAUUGUCUAAUUCAUUGUAUUGCUUCCUAAUACAAGCUACGUUUUACUAUCCUGUUUUUCCAUAUUCCAUCGAGGUCAAGGUGGACUUUUCAGAACCACACCAUCAAUGGCUGUGACGUGUGACUUUUUCCUAUCCUGAAUGCUGCAUUGUUGAAGAUAAAGAAACUGUGAUCCAAGUCACUUGGAUGGAACAAGAGGAAGAAUCUCAUGGAAGUUUACUGCAACAUAUAUACUCUCGAUGAAUAU